CAACGAGCGAGACCACGCCAACAGUUGCCAGCUCGUCCUCCGGGAUGGUGGGGACGAACUGUUGGGACCGCCGUCUGGCUAAAGAGGAGGAAGGAAUGGGCAACGGUAGGUCAGCAUGCCCCGAAUUAUCUGGGCUACACGCGGGCUACAAUGGGUGGGGCAAUGGGUAUCGACACCGAAAGGUGAAGGCAAUCUCCUAAACCCAUCCGUAGUUCGGAUUGUGGGCUGCAACUCGCCCACAUGAAGCUGGAAUCUGUAGUAAUCGUGUCUCAAAAUGGCACGGUGAAUAUGUCCCUGCUCCUU
rnacentral:rRNA from 1 species